GAUGAACGCUGGCGGCGUGCCUAAUACAUGCAAGUCGAGCGAAUGGAUUAAGAGCUUGCUCUUAUGAAGUUAGCGGCGGACGGGUGAGUAACACGUGGGUAACCUGCCCUUGACUCUGGGAUAACUGCGGGAAACUGCAGCUAAUACCGGAUACGACCCUCGGAGGCAUCUCCUGGGGGUGGAAAGAAUUUCGGUCAAGGAUGGACUCGCGGCCUAUCAGCUAGUUGGUGAGGUAAAGGCUCACCAAGGCGACGACGGGUAGCCGGCCUGAGGGGGUGACCGGCCACACUGGGACUGAGACACGGCCCAGACUCCUACGGGAGGCAGCAGUGGGGAAUAUUGCACAAUGGGCGCAAGCCUGAUGCAGCAACGCCGCGUGAGGGAUGACGGCCUUCGGGUUGUAAACCUCUUUUAGCAGGGAAGAAGCGAAAGUGACGGUACCUGCAGAAAAAGCACCGGCUAACUACGUGCCAGCAGCCGCCGUAA
rnacentral:rRNA from 1 species